rnacentral:lncRNA from 1 species
CCCAGACAAAAUCAACAAGAGCUAAAAAAUGCAGCUAGACACAUAAAUCCACUGUAAAAGACAGUGCUGCUACUUGCAAACUCUAAAGAAACCAUUUGCAUGGAAAGGGAUAUUUGAACUAUUAGUUUCCAGUGCUACCAGAUCAAGUUAUCUAUGUGGGUCUAUAAACACAUUCACUGUAGAACAUGGAAAGUGAAUGUUAGUUUUCAUGGAAAAAGAUGGAUGAAGUCUCAGCCUCUAGGAAGUGCUUUGAGAAUGCUAUCAUCUCACAGCUGUUGUGAGCCAUAUCUAAUACAGCUUUCCUGGCAUGGAUAUUCAAUUCAUUUGACGUAUAGUGGAGAUUUUUCUGCAUAUAAAAACCCAGAAACAUAGAAAGAGAUAAAUUAGAAAGACAUCCAGCAGCAAAAUCAGUUGGAGAAUGGUGUUAUGAAAUUCAGCACUGCAGCCCCACUUUGGUCACAUCUGCUCCUUCAAUGCAUUCAGUCCAGGCAUCUGUCACCCAAUGUUUGAUGACAACAUUCAGAUGGGUUGACCUGUUCCCUUCUGGCUGUUACACAAAUGGAUGUGAUCCCAUUGUAUUGUGCUGCCUUGUCCAUCUUUCAUAGUGCUGUUCACCCUUCCUGUCCCCAAAAUAGCCCCUCCCCAUUUCUUCUAGGGAAAAUAUAGCAGUUGUGCUAAAUAAAGCCUAUCCAAAUUUGUUCUGU